rnacentral:rRNA from 1 species
UACGUAGGGUGCAAGCGUUUGUCCGGAAUUAUUGGGCGUAAAGAGCUCGUAGGCGGUCUGUCGCGUCUGCUGUGAAAACCUAGGGCUUAACUCUGGGCGUGCAGUGGGUACGGGCAGGCUAGAGUGCGGUAGGGGGAGACUGGAAUUCCUGGUGUAGCGGUGAAAUGCGCAGAUAUCAGGAGGAACACCGGUGGCGAAGGCGGGUCUCUGGGCCGAUACUGACGUGAGGAGCGAAAGCGUGGGGAGCGAACAGG